UUGUAUCUUGUAUGCUUAAGGUAGGCUCUGAUCACGUGUCAAAUAGCCUGUGAUUGAAUUGGGGAGAUGAAAAUAAAUACUCGCAAUGAUCACUUUGAGCAGUGUUUGGAAAGGGCCCCAAGGCCAGCUUGGAGACAGAUGUUAUGAGAAGUGAGGGGAUGGAUUUCAGUUAGAGGACUCUCUGCAGGAGGUGGCUCCUAGUUGGGCUCUGGAGUAUAGGGAGGAGGGUUUCAGCACAGAGAAGGACAAUUCGGGUCAUUCCAAGAGCAGAGAGUAGCAUGACCCCACAGGGAAGGAGGUAAGUGGGUGUGUGGAGAAAGGCUUUAGGCUCCCUUGCCUAGAAAAGUCUAGCUCAGUCCAGAGGGACCGGUUAGGAUCCAGUGACUGCUGACGAAGACCAGACCCCGGGUUGUGAGAUAGGCUGGAGGGCAUAUAAAUUUGGGUGACUAUAGGCGUUAGAUGAGCAGUCAGGUCACGACAAAGGGGCCUUGAUGGUGAUCAGAGUUGGAUUUGGGAGUGGAGAGUCAAUGAGCACGCUUUCUCUCUCUCUUCAGUUCUGGAGCACUAUGCAGAGAAUUCAAAACAAAUACAGAACAAGUAAACAAAACCCAACAGCGGAGUUUUCAUUUUCGGCUCAUCUCUGUAAGUCAUUUCUCCAUCUUAGACAUCUCAUUCUGGUCGCCUAACAUCCCAUUUCUUCUUUCUAGAAAUCUCCAGCACGUAGCCCCAGGUAGAGAGUAGAGUCCCCUGGCUGCCACGGAGAAGAGGGAGUGGACCUUGGAAUCUGACAGCUACACCCAUCACCACUCUGGGUGACUCAGUGGUCUUCAGUCAGCAGUGUGACCUCCACAUCCUGGGGAUGCCUCUUUCUGAGAGAACUGAUUCUGGAGACUUUGGAUACAGUGUCGGGACAUGAGGAGUGGAGCCUGAGGAAGGCCUGUCUUCCAUGUCCCUGCUCCAGGACCCACGGGGAGAGUGUAGAGGAACCAGGAGGACCCAUGGCUUUCUUCCCAUGCCCAAGUGUGCCUGGCAUGCCUGGCCCGACCAGCAGAGGGCGCUGCCCCCUGCUCCACGGCUGAGGUGGCCUCCUCCUGCCCUCUUGGGAACUGCUUGCUCCCUAUGCAUCCACAAAGUUUGAGAACAAGUACGUUGAUUAAUAAGAAUGAUAAAGUGCAGCAACCUAGAGGAACAAGUAGAUUACAAUUGAAUUAAAAAAAUAAAAAGGACAUAGUCCUGUGAAAAGACAUAACUGAUUACAAUCCAAUCAAGUGAACGUCCCUUGCAGAAGUCAAUGCAAUCUUUCUGCUUAGAUGAAAGAAUUACAUUAGCACUCAAUAAAUUCCUGUGAAAAUUACAGCAGCCUACAAUUUAAUGACUUAAUAUAUUAUAACAGCCUGCACAAUCCUGAUUAUAGUUCCUAAAUAAAAGUUGGAGUUGGAGGCAUUUCUCAGACACGAGGUUGUACCCACCAGGCUCUGUCCUCUGGUGUUGUGUUAACGCCUGGAGGAGUGGGGGGUACCAGGAGACUAAGCUGCUGUCGCUUGCUGCCCCCUGAACUCACAGCCCAUCCCUUGGCUCUUGGGAGCUGAGUUUCUUUAUGGCACUGAACUGCUUUCUUGGUAGCCCCUGCUCCUCCCAGGCUGCUGCUGGGACAACUUUUGGAGGUGGUGUUGUGCCGGGCACUGGGAUCCAGCAAAGCUGUGCUUCAGGGGAGGCUUUGGCCUGACUCAAGCAGGACAAUCUGCCCUCCUGGGACACCUCAGUUCCUGCUAGCCUAGCCAGCACCGCCAGGGUCUUGCCACCCCGCUAACACCCCCAAGGCAAGAGCCAGAUAACUGGGGGUGUCUGAGGCUCCCAUAGCUGCUAUCUAGUUAGCCUCACUGUCCUGUUCUGUGGGUCACUUUUGACGGCUCUGGGCAAUCUCAGCUCCUGCUGUUGGGCUUUGACAGCUAGACACCCCAGUGGGGUCAGAAACACAAUGCCAGGCUGUCUUUGUGACCACAGAGGCUCGCCCAGCGAUGGGCUAGCUAAGUGGAAAUGGGAAGAAGAUCCUGGAAACAAGACAAGUGUAGGAUGUAGACAGACGAAAUGCUCUAGAGUUCUGGGCCACUUUGUGAGUGACAUUGGGCAAGUCCCUUCACCUCUGUGGUUCUCCCCCUUCUUCCUCAUUUAUAAAAUGGGAGUGUAAAGUUUAAUCCUGAAACGUCCCCCACAGGCUUAUAAAUUCUGAAUAUUUGUUUCCCAGUUGAUGUUGUUUUGGGAGGGUGUGGAGUGUUUCAGGGGUGGGAAGCAGGUCAUUAGGGAUGGUCCUUGAAGGGUUUACUUGUCCCUGGCUCUUGCCUCUCUUUCUCUUUCCAGACUUGCUGCUAUGAGGUCCUCCCUGCCUUCUCCAUGAUGAUGGACUGAGACCCUUUGAAACCAUGAGUCAAAAAGGAGUGUUCUCUUCCCUUCCUGUUUCUGGCCCGUAGUUUGUCAGAACAUAAAAUUAACUGAUGAGAAAUGGGCUACCAGCA